GAACUCGCUGUGAAGAUGCAGUGUACCCGCGGCAAGACGGAAAGACCCCGUGAACCUUUACUAUAGCUUGACACUGAACAUUGAGCCUUGAUGUGUAGGAUAGGUGGGAGGCUUUGAAGUGUGGACGCCAGUCUGCAUGGAGCCGGCCUUGAAAUACCACCCUUUAAUGUUUGAUGUUCUAACGUUGGCCCCUGAUCGGGGUUGCGGACAGUGUCUGGUGGGUAGUUUGACUGGGGCGGUCUCCUCCUAAAGAGUAACGGAGGAGCACGAAGGUUGGCUAAUCCUGGUCGGACAUCAGGAGGUUAGUGCAAUGGCAUAAGCCAGCUUGACUGCGAGCGUGACGGCGCGAGCAGGUGCGAAAGCAGGUCAUAGUGAUCCGGUGGUUCUGAAUGGAAGGGCCAUCGCUCAACGGAUAAAAGGUACUCCGGGGAUAACAGGCUGAUACCGCCCAAGAGUUCAUAUCGACGGCGGUGUUUGGCACCUCGAUGUCGGCUCAUCACAUCCUGGGGCUGAAGUAGGUCCCAAGGGUAUGGCUGUUCGCCAUUUAAAGUGGUACGCGAGCUGGGUUUAGAACGUCGUGAGACAGUUCGGUCCCUAUCUGCCGUGGGCGCUGGAGAACUGAGGGGGGCUGCUCCUAGUACGAGAGGACCGGAGUGGACGCAUCACUGGUGUUCGGGUUGUCAUGCCAAUGGCACUGCCCGGUAGCUAAAUGCGGAAGAGAUAAGUGCUGAAAGCAUCUAAGCACGAAACUUGCCCCGAGAUGAGUUCUCCCUGACUCCUUGAGAGUCCUGAAGGAACGUUGAAGACGACGACGUUGAUAGGCCGGGUGUGUAAGCGCAGCGAUGCGUUGAGCUAACCGGUACUAAUGAACCGUGAGGCUUAACCUU
rnacentral:rRNA from 1 species